CUAGUGGGAGCAUCCUAAGAGGAACCAGGUCAGGAGCAGAGACUGUUCUUCAGGUUAGAGGUGUAUUCGGGGACCUCUGGGACUCCUUACUUCUUGUGAGGUCCUGGGCUGAGUCCCCGGCCCCCAGGGCCAGGCAGAGGGGAGAGGCCCUCAGAGCCUCUUCCUGCUCCUAGCACAGCCACCCCAACUUAGAGCCUCCGUCAGAUCCUCACCCUGGGGGGCGGGGGGUGGGUGGGAACUAAUUGCACUGGUUCUGGUCCUAAGUUCUCUGCUUGCCCCCCGCCCCAGCAGAAAGGGUGAAAAUCCUGCAUCCUUCCUUCCUACCCCCUCUUUGUUGGCUGCUCCCACCCUCCCCUGAAUUGGUAUUCUCCUGUCCCCUUCCUCUACCCCACCCCCCACCCCACCCCAGGAGGCUAGGGCUUUGUACUGUGAGCCGGGCUUAGCGCCCUGUCCUGGGGCCACAGCGGAGGAGGACUCACCCAGCUUCUUACCAGAAUCCGCCCUCUGGGCAGGUGUGUGCCAGGGCGGGACUCCCCGCAGGUAGCCCAGGGAGGGGCAGGUCUCGUUGUGCCUCCUCAUUCCCUGCCUGCAGGGGUGGGACAAGGGUGGAGCAGCGCUUUCCCGUUCCCCCAAGCCUGCUUCUUACCGGGGAUUGGAGUUAGUCGUCAGGGGGCGGGAGCAGAUGUUGUAAAGUGGAGGCCAGUCCGAGAAUGGCCAGAAAUUCCCCUAUAAAACUGAACUUCCCUGAUUCUAAUCCACGGAGGAAGGCUUAGCCCAGGCCUUGCUCUGGGGACUGCUGAGUCCUAACUUGUAAAUGAUGUUUGAUCAGAGACAGGUGCUUUUCCCUGCAGGCUCAGGUCUCCCAAGCUCUGAAGGAGGUGGCUGGGGAGCAUGUGAGGUAUCCAGGCGGAUGGCUUCAUUGGCCUUCCAGUGUCUCUCUCUGAGAGCAGCUUUGGGGCUCUGGGCAGAUGGCUUCAUUGGCCUUCCAGUGUCUCUCUCUGAGAGCAGCUUUGGGGCUCUGGGCAGAUGGCUUCAUUGGCCUUCCAGUGUCUCUCUCUGAGAGCAGCUUUGGGGCUCUGGGCAGGGCAGAUGGUUGGCCUUCCAGUGUCUCCUUGAGCAGUUUUGGGGUGCUGAGCUGUGAGCGGCCCUGGCCUUUCCUCCUGGAUGCCUGGGAUUAUGGUACCGGCAGGGGAGGGGGCAGCUGUCUCCAUCAGCACCAUUCUUGCUCCCAUGUCCCGUCCCUCCUGGCAACCCCUCUCUUCUCCUGCCCCAGAAAACACUGUCCUCCAUAUCUUCUGAGCAGGGAAGCCAGAAGCAUCUUCCCCAUCAGCCCUCCUGGACUCCCUCCUGGGAAGGGCUCUGAGCUAAAACCUGGGUACCUCUGGGGACAGGACCUGCCCACAGAGGCCCCUGGGGCAAAGGGCAUGGAUCUGGCACAGAAUCAGCCCCUGAGAGAGGACAAGAUGCCCUAGGGACUGCAGAGGCAGCGGCUGCUUCUGGUCAGAGCAUUUUGCGGGGCUAGGCAUGCAACCCAACAGGCAAACACACGCGUGCGUCUGAGCCUCUUCCUGCAGAGGCCUGCCCUCUGCUUGGGGAGUGUGGAGGAGGGAGGGCAGAGCGGACCGAGGUGGCCUGUAUACACCUCGGAGUCAAUCACCUUUUCCCACCGUGGCACGAGGCUCCAGGGCCUGUGCAGAGGCCGUGAAAGUUUGCGUGUUUAAUCCCUGCAACUGCCACGAGGUGUGUGUAUUGCCUGCCCAGCUCACAGGAAGAAACAGAGCCACAAGGAGGCACAGUGACUGCACUUGAGAUUCGGUUUUAAGAUCCCAGUCCCGGAGUUCCUGUCGUGGCGCAGUGGUUAACGAAUCCGACUAGGAACCAUGAGGUUGCGGGUUCUAUCCCUGCCCUUGCUCAGUGGGUUGACGAUCCGGUGUUGCCGUGAGCUGUGGUGUAGGUUGCAGACGCGGCUGGGAUCCCGCGUUGCUGUGGCUCUGGCGUAGGCCAGUGGCUACAGCUCCGAUUGGACCUCUAGCCUGGGAACCUCCAUAUGCCGCAGGAGCGGCCCAAGAAAUAGCAAAAAGACAAAAAAAAAAAAAAAAA
rnacentral:lncRNA from 1 species